rnacentral:tRNA from 1 species
GUUUUAAUAGUUUAAAAAAAAUUUUAGUUUUGUAAACUAGAGAUGUCCUCUUAAAACA